rnacentral:rRNA from 1 species
UACGUAGGUGGCAAGCGUUGUCCGGAAUUAUUGGGCGUAAAGCGCGCGCAGGCGGUCCUUUAAGUCUGAUGUGAAAGCCCACGGCUCAACCGUGGAGGGUCAUUGGAAACUGGGGGACUUGAGUGCAGGAGAGAAGAGUGGAAUUCCACGUGUAGCGGUGAAAUGCGUAGAGAUGUGGAGGAACACCAGUGGCGAAGGCGGCUAUCUGGACGGUUUCUGACGCUAAGACGCGAAAGCGUGGGGAGCAAACAGG